rnacentral:siRNA from 1 species
AGCCGUGAUCGGUGUCCUGUGACU